AGUGAACGCUGGCGGUAGGCCUAACACAUGCAAGUCGAACGGCAGCACAGUAAGAGCUUGCUCUUACGGGUGGCGAGUGGCGGACGGGUGAGGAAUACAUCGGAAUCUACUUUUUCGUGGGGGAUAACGGAGGGAAACUUACGCUAAUACCGCAUACGACCUACGGGUGAAAGCAGGGGAUCUUCGGGCCUUUCGCGAUUGAAUGAGCCGAUGUCGGAUUAGCUAGUUGGCGGGGUAAAGGCCCACCAAGGCGACGAUCCGUAGCUGGUCUGAGAGGAUGAUCAGCCACACUGGAACUGAGACACGGUCCAGACUCCUACGGGAGGCAGCAGUGGGGAAUAUUGGACAAUGGGCGCAAGCCUGAUCCAGCAAUACCGCGUGGGUGAAGAAGGCCUUCGGGUUGUAAAGCCCUUUUGUUGGGAAAGAAAAGCAGCAGGUUAAUCCCCCGCUGUUCUGACGGUACCCAAAGAAUAAGCACCGGCUAACUUCGUG
rnacentral:rRNA from 1 species